rnacentral:tRNA from 3 species
GCACCCGUAGCUCAGUUGGAUAGAGCGUCUGAUUGCGGUUCAGAAGGUCGCACGUUCGAAUCGUGCCGGGUGCGCCA